GACCGUACUUCAUGGAUACGACCCGACCAUGUAAGGGGACCGUAUCGAGGCAAAUCUGUCCGACAUAACAGAGGGGUUCUCGAGUGUACAGAUAGAUUAUAGCAGUUAUCAUGAUUGCCUCCCCUGAGAUACCAACUUAAAAAGCAUAACGAUUUAUUUUAUAAAUGUCAAGAUUAAACUUGACUCCAAAAAUUUGAGCGUGGUUGACCCCGUAACGACUUGGCCCAUCAUUUAUUGAUGGCCGGAUGGAAAUCUUUUCAGCUUCCAUAAUAUGCCGAUCCCCGAUUCGCCUUUUGCUGGGCUUGCUAUGAGCGAGCAUAGCGAGUCGAAGGGGAAAGAUAUAGUCUGCACUUCUAGUGAUAGGAGA
rnacentral:autocatalytically_spliced_intron from 1 species